rfam:Canis lupus familiaris chromosome 18, whole genome shotgun sequence.
ACCUAGCUGGCUCAGUUGGAAGAGCAUGUGACUAUUGAUCUCAGGGUUGUGAGUUCAAACCCCAUAUCUGGUG